rnacentral:lncRNA from 10 species
ACAUAUAUAAAAGGAGGAGGAGGAAGAAGAAAAGUAGCCAAAAGCAAUAUAAUUGCUCAAAUCGAAGGCAAAGAUCCAGUUUUGUCUCAGAUUAUAUUCAUGGUAACCACUGUUCCCAACAUUUCCCCCCAGUUUCUGGGAGGGUAGAUGUGUUAAACAGGCACUUAUUAGACAGUUUUUUUGACAGCUGCUGCAUUUGCAAUUACUGUAAUAUAAUUUUUUUUCUUCUGAAUAGCU